ensembl:lncRNA
GUGGAAUUUGUUUUUUUAUGUCUCAUCAAUCUGACCCUAUUUAGUGUGUGUGUGUGAGAGAGAGAGAGAGAGAGCGAGCGCGCAAGAGCGAGCGAGCGAGAGUGCGAACCCCCUGGGUAUAAUCCAGCAGAUGUCACUACAUCCACAGCUACAAUGGAGGAGGCCAGUUGACCCUUCGACCACAUUGUACCCUCAGGUGACCUGAGCUGAUAAAUCAUCUUUUAUAAAAGACGAUUUCCCUGGAAAUACUUGAGAAUAGUCCCCCCCCCCCCCCCCAUGGGCUCUAUAUCUGUGUCUUCAUUCUUGAUGAAGUUUUCAUUUGGCAUCUGCUUAUAGUUCAAAUGAUGCGGAAUGAGAGGCAGAAUGCUGUAUACCUCAAUAAAGGCAGUGCCCACGGUGCGAGGAGAUCGAUUUCGGCCCUGCGUGGAGCCCUGACCACACAGCCAUACUGAUAAAGUGGAAUUGCACCGGUGUGGAUGGAGGAGUACAGGGAAGAGUUUCUGCUGGACUGGCCAGAUAAAGGCUAGGACGUGAAGUAGGUAGGGCGAAGUGGUGGAAAACAGCCUCAACGGGUGAGGCAUAUAGGUAGGUGUCUGUAAAUCUCACAACUGUUGUAUUUGUUGAUAUUUUCAAGUAGUGUGUUGCUUCCUGACAACACAAUAUACUGAAUGGUUG